rnacentral:rRNA from 1 species
CGAUGAACCNCUUCGGUGGGGAUUAGUGGCGAACGGGUGAGUAACACGUGGGCAAUCUGCCCUGCACUCUGGGACAAGCCCUGGAAACGGGGUCUAAUACCGGAUAUUGACCUUCACGGGCAUCUGUGAGGUUCGAAAGCUCCGGCGGUGCAGGAUGAGCCCGCGGCCUAUCAGCUUGUUGGUGAGGUAAUGGCUCACCAAGGCGACGACGGGUAGCCGGCCUGAGAGGGCGACCGGCCACACUGGGACUGAGACACGGCCCAGACUCCUACGGGAGGCAGCAGUGGGGAAUAUUGCACAAUGGGCGAAAGCCUGAUGCAGCGACGCCGCGUGAGGGAUGACGGCCUUCGGGUUGUAAACCUCUUUCAGCAGGGAAGAAGCGAAAGUGACGGUACCUGCAGAAGAAGCGCCGGCUAACUACGUGCCAGCAGCCGCGGUAAUACGUAGGGCGCAAGCGUUGUCCGGAAUUAUUGGGCGUAAAGAGCUCGUAGGCGGCUUGUCACGUCGGUUGUGAAAGCCCGGGGCUUAACCCCGGGUCUGCAGUCNAUACNGGCAGGCUANAGUUCGGUAGGGGAAAUC